rnacentral:rRNA from 1 species
CAAGGUUAAAACUCAAAUGAAUUGACGGGGGCCCGCACAAGCGGUGGAGCAUGUGGUUUAAUUCGAUGCAACGCGAAGAACCUUACCUACUCUUGACAUCCAGAGAACUUUCCAGAGAUGGAUUGGUGCCUUCGGGAACUCUGAGACAGGUGCUGCAUGGCUGUCGUCAGCUCGUGUUGUGAAAUGUUGGGUUAAGUCCCGCAACGAGCGCAACCCUUAUCCUUUGUUGCCAGCGGUUAGGCCGGGAACUCAAAGGAGACUGCCAGUGAUAAACUGGAGGAAGGUGGGGAUGACGUCAAGUCAUCAUGGCCCUUACGAGUAGGGCUACACACGUGCUACAAUGGCGCAUACAAAGAGAAGCGACCUCGCGAGAGCAAGCGGACCUCAUAAAGUGCGUCGUAGUCCGGAUUGGAGUCUGCAACUCGACUCCAUGAAGUCGGAAUCGCUAGUAAUCGUAGAUCAGAAUGCUACGGUGAAUACGUUCCCGGGCCUUGUACACACCGCCCGUCACACCAUGGGAGUGGGUUGCAAAAGAAGUAGGUAGCUUAACCUUCGGGAGGGCGCUUACCACUUUGUGAUUCAUGACUGGGGGGAAGU